AGGAUGAGAAGAAGAAACCGAAAGACUAGGCGAUAUGGAGUUUUGGACACUAACAUAGAAAAUAUGGAAUUGACACCUUUAGAACAAGAUGAUGAGGAUGAUGAUAACACAUUGUUUGAUGCCAAUCAUCCUCGAAGAUAAGAAUGUGCCUUUUGAUGAGAGGACUUCAUCUUUCUACAGUGAAGAGUGGAGUUUCUAUGUUUAAGGAAUAAGAAGCCACUAUGUCAAUGGGGGGGUAUUUAAGUUUCAUACAUUAUGACAACUUUUAAUUUGUUGUUGCAAUAAAUACUGUAUCAUUUUGUUAUAUCUGUAUUUAUAGAAGUGCUCUAUUAAUGGGCUCAAAUUUGUUGGCUAUAAACUGUACUAUAAUAGUUUAUCUGUUUGAAAAUUACUAUAAAGCAGAGUGGUUUCUGAUCAGUUUUUGUUCCUUGCUUAUAGUAUAAUUGUAAAUUGUUUUAUGUACUAAUCAGUUAAUGUUAAUUAUUUUUUGUUUUUAUUAUAUUUUAAAUCAACAAACUGGCAUAUAAGAAUAAUAAAAAUUUUUCUUUACUGAAAUGUAUUUCCCAUUUUUGUGGGGAAAAGAAGCCAAAUUUAUUACCUUCUGUUGAAAUUUUUUUAAAUAUCAAUAAUUGACUGAGAAAUUGUUUGCAAAACAAUAAAUAUGAUUUAAAAUUCUGUUAA